UCCAGGGUAGCUUAGUGGACAUGGUAUCUGCCAUGUAAGCAGAACAUUGUGAGUUUGAUUCCCAUCCCUGGAC